rnacentral:lncRNA from 1 species
AUGUAUAUUCACUUUUACUACCAACCAAUCUUUACCAUUCAGUGAUAACAAGCACUUUAUUUUACAUUUUAAUAUUUUAUGAUGUAUUUAAAAGAGUAGUUAUUGUUGCAAACUCCAUUAGAAAUUUAAAUUGAUAUCAGUUUUGGAAAAAGGGAAACGGGGAUGUGAAAAAAAGGGGGGGGGGGUAAAUUUUUCUCAUUUCAGAUUUCAUAAAAUAAAAAGAAAAUUUCUUCAAACAUUUUUUUGAGAGGAUUAAUAUUCAACAGCAUAGUGAAUUGCUCAAAGGCAAAAAAAAACUUUUAAGUUCAUUAGACCACAUUCGUUCUGUGUCAGAAACCUAUGCUGUGUCAUGAUCAACUAUUUAAUUUUAGAUUUAAAAAGUUUGAAGAAGAAAUCUUUAAUUGAUUUGUAAAAUCUUGACAUUUGUUUUGUGUAAAAAAAAACCAUGUAAUGUCAAAAAUUUGAUCACAAUCCAAAUUCAGAGCUGUAUCACGCUUGAAUGUUUUGUCCAUACUUGCCCCAACUGUUCAGGGUUCGACCUCUGCGGUCGUAUAAAGCUGCGCCCUGCGGAGCACCUGGUUAUCAAAUAACCUGCUACACACUGCAAAGACAAUGCUUCAACCUCUUUUCUUAAGAUAAUCAAUCGUUUAGGUCUAAAUUUCUUUAAUUAUCAAUAAAAAAUUGAUGAUUCAUCAACUUGGUAAAAAUUGAAAAUGUCCAUUGACGGAAGCGACUGAAAGCGAGUAUCGUCAAGAACAGGGCGACUUGUUUUCGCUUUUGGGGGUCGGGG